CUCCUGGAUAGGAAAACAUUCAUGAAUGCCACAAUCUUCAUAAAAACUUCAUAAGCAGGACUUAGGAACAAAUUUGUUCUUAAGAACGGCUCGUGAAUGAGGCCCAUUGACCUAACAUUCCCUCAACUCUCCACUCA